rnacentral:rRNA from 1 species
CCAAUGUAUGCCUUAGUACGGCGAGUGAGCGGCAAGAGCUCAAAUUUGAAAUCUGACACUUUCAGUGUCCGAGUUGUAAUUUGAAGAUUGUAUUUUUGGCUGAUUUCUCGCAUAAGUUCCUUGGAAUAGGACGUCAUAGAGGGUGAGAAUCCCGUAUGGUGUGAAUCGUCAGCCUCUGUAAAAUACUUUCAAAGAGUCGAGUUGUUUGGGAAUGCAGCUCUAAGUGGGUGGUAAAUUCCAUCUAAAGCUAAAUAUUGGCGAGAGACCGAUAGCGAACAAGUACAGUGAUGGAAAGAUGAAAAGAACUUUGGAAAGAGAGUGAAAAAGUACGUAAAAUUGUUGGAAUGGAAGGGCUUGAGAUCAGACUUGGCGUGUAGUGAUCAGCUUCCUCUCGGGGUUGUGCACUCGCUAUAUGCUGGGCCAGCAUCGAUUUUGGCGGCGAGAUAAUGGCAUUGGAAUGUGGCUCCUCGGAGUGUUAUAGCCUUUGUUGAUAUCGCCUGCUGGGAUCGAGGACAGCAAUCUUAGGAUGCUGGCGUAAUGAUCUUAAGCCACCCGUCUUGAACCCCGGAACAAA